CGCUGUUGGUUGUUUUCUUGGCCAUUGCAUGUGUUUGAUUAUGAGAAGUGCACUGUUUUAAUGUGUUUUAGAGACGGCGAUUGGUUUGAAGAGCACUUCUGCCUUGACCCUACAAGUCGCGCUGUAAUGUCUGUUUAGUAUCGGCACAUAAAUCGGGCAUAGAUAUCGGAGAAGCUGUGAGCACCUGACGCAGUGCUGGAUCACUGUUUUGUAACGGCGUUUUCUGUGAAAGAUUCCAUUGGCUUCCUAUAAAACGUUGAUGUCUGCGAUUGGUGUCGUAACGGCUCGUAAUUAUUCCAGUCGGGCGUGCUCCGCGUUUGUAUGACUGCAGUGCUGUCCUGUUUCCAACCUGUUUCCAAUCGGGUUUCCAACCGGUUUCCAAUCGGGUUUCCAAUCGGGUUUCCAGAUCUGUUUUCAAACCUGCUUCCAAGUUUAUCUGUUGUUUAUUUUCUUUUUGUGGCUGUUCCAUAUUUUGUCUUUUUAGUUUUACAAUGUAUUAUUUUUGAAGUAUUUCAUUUGAAAUGUUGAUUUGAUUCUUUGGCUUGCUGUUGUUCUUCAGUUGCAUUUGGUUUUGUAUUGCUUCUGGGGUUUGAACAGUUAGUCUGGAUUUCGUGAUUUCUUGUCUAAGUUAUUUUAUUUUAACUGUAUUGGAUUUAGUUUCUAUUUAUAUAAUUUGGUUACAAAGUUUAUUUGCUUUUUUUUCUUUUUUUAUAUUUUGUAGAAGUUGAUUUAUUGGAGCAACUAUUUACUGGUUGUGAGAAUUGAAUUAUUUACUUUUGUUUUCUUGAAUUGACUCAGUCUUUAAGGUGACUGUGGUUGAUGUAUGUUAUCUUUUUUUUGGCAGGGCCUGAGCACUGGGGUGGAGGACUGGCUUUCGGUGGUGGUACUUCCUCACAAGUGUGUUGUGACUAUCUCACUGUAGGUGUGCGUAAACAGUGAAGUGCAGUGAUUCACCUAUGAGUGUGGCCUUUUGCUCUGUUUUUCUGUACUGGUAAGCUUUAGUCCCUGUCCCUUAAUUUGUCCAAGAAAGAUCUGUAGCUCGUUUGGCUGAAGGUUUUUUAUUUAUUUUAAUGUUUUAAUGAGAGUGUCAAUAAAGAGGACUUUGUAUUGUGA